CAGGCCAGGCCGUCCCGGCGCCCCACCCGCGGCCCGCCCCUGCCGCCGGACGGGAGGGAGGGACCGGCUUCUCCCAAGGAAGUUUCAGGAAUGCUGUAGCCCACAGUGCCAAACAGCUUGGUAAGUAGACUGUUCUCUGGUUCCUGUGCUCAUCAGCUUCUCCACUGACCUGGCAGAAAAGGCUGAGCAGUUGUAUGGAAAGCCCUGUGGAAUAAAAGUUGACUGAGCAAGAA